rnacentral:rRNA from 1 species
ACACUCCUACGGGAGGCAGCAGUGGGGAAUAUUGCACAAUGGGCGCAAGCCUGAUGCAGCCAUGCCGCGUGUGUGAAGAAGGCCUUCGGGUUGUAAAGCACUUUCAGCGGGGAGGAAGGCAAUGCGGUUAAUAACCGUGUUGAUUGACGUUACCCGCAGAAGAAGCACCGGCUAACUCCGUGCCAGCAGCCGCGGUAAUACGGAGGGUGCAAGCGUUAAUCGGAAUUACUGGGCGUAAAGCGCACGCAGGCGGUCUGUCAAGUCGGAUGUGAAAUCCCCGGGCUCAACCUGGGAACUGCAUUCGAAACUGGCAGGCUUGAGUCUUGUAGAGGGGGGUAGAAUUCCAGGUGUAGCGGUGAAAUGCGUAGAGAUCUGGAGGAAUACCGGUGGCGAAGGCGGCCCCCUGGACAAAGACUGACGCUCAGGUGCGAAAGCGUGGGGAGCAAACAGGAUUAGAUACCCGGGUAGUCCC